GCUUGAGAUUUCUUCCUUGAAGACGAAUCAUGGGCUGAGACAACUCAGGAUCAAGAAGUUAUGAUCAGUUUCAGAACUAUUUAUUCGCCUCAUCUUACAGGCUAGGCUGGAGGCCCUGAAGCUGUGGUGGGUGCCAGAUGGCAUCUCAGUCACCAGGAAGGAGGACACCCGAGGACCCUGUUGUCAGCCCCAGGCUGGCAGCCCAUCCCCACAUCACCACUGUGGGCACGGGGCAGAGGCAAGGUGUGAGCUUGGGUAUGACGUCACCUGAACUGGAUGAGCCUGACUCCUCUCACGUGUUCAUGGCUACAUUGGAGAGUGACCAGUGAGCUAAUGCGCGGCAGAAAAAAUAAUAAUAAAGCCUUUUGCAAAUCUAGAGGGGUUUACGCACGUGUUUUAGUCCGUUCAGCCUGCUACAAUGAAAUGCCACAGACUGAGUGGCUGAUAAAGAACGGAAACUUAUUUCUCACAGUUCUGGCGGGUGGGAAGUCGAAGGUCAAGGUACCGCCAGCAUGCUGGCGUUCUGGUGAUGGCCCACUUCCUGGUUCACAGUUGGUACCUUCUCACCUUGUCCUCAGAUGGAGGAAGACACAAGAGAGCUCUCUGGAGCCCCUUUCAUAAGGCACUAAUCCCAUUCCUGAGAGCUUCUCCUUCGCGACUUAAUCACUUCCCAAAGGCCCUACUUCCUAAAUCACCUUGGCGGUUAGGAUUUCAACAUAUGAAUUUUGGUACUAUUAUCAUUGUGAAUGCUAAUAU